UACGAAGGGUGUAAGCGUUACUCGGAAUUACUGGGCGUAAAGCGUGCGUAGGUGGUUCGUUAAGUCUGAUGUGAAAGCCCUGGGCUCAACCUGGGAAUGGCAUUGGAAACUGGCGACCUAGAGUGCGGUAGAGGGUAGUGGAAUUCCCGGUGUAGCAGUGAAAUGCGUAGAGAUCGGGAGGAACAUCUGUGGCGAAGGCGACUGCCUGGACCAGCACUGACACUGAGGAGCGAAAGCCAGGGGAGCAAACGGG
rnacentral:rRNA from 1 species